rnacentral:misc_RNA from 1 species
ACACGAUAGGACUCUGGCCUA